rnacentral:rRNA from 1 species
AGUGAACGCUGGCGGUAUGCCUAACACAUGCAAGUCGAACGGCAGCACAGUAAGAGCUUGCUCUUACGGGUUGCGAGUGGCGGACGUGUGAGGAAUACAUCGGAAUCUACUUUUUCGUGUGGCUUAAGGAAGGUAAACUUACUCUAAUACCGCAUACCCCCUACGGUUGAAGGCGGUGGAUCUUCGCGCCUGGCGCGAUUGAAUUCGCGGCUUUCGGAUUAGCUAGUUGGCGGGUUAAAGGCCCACCAAGUCGCGGAUCGGUAGCUGGACGGAGAGGAUGAUAAGCGACACUGGAACUGAGACACGGUCCAGACUACUACGGGAGGCAGCAGUGGGGAAUAUUGGACAAUGGGCGCAAGCCUGAUCCAGCCAUACCGCGUGGGUGAAGAAGGCCUUCGGGUUGUAAAGACCUUUUGUUGGGAAAGAAAAGCAGCAGGUUAAUACCCCGCUGUUCUGACGGUACCCAAAGAAUAAGCACCGGCUAACUUCGUG